GGAAGCUAAGUCAGGGGUGUCCCCACCAUGGCCUGGGAUCCGCUGCUCCUCCUCACGCUCCUCGCUCUCUGCACAGGGUCUUGGGCUGAGGUGAGGCUGACUCAGCCCAGCUCGGUGUCGGGGUCUCCAGGGCAGACGGUCACCAUCUCCUACAUCCGCAGCAGCAGCGGCAGCAUUGAUGACUACUACAUAUAUUGGUUCCAGCAGAAGCCGGCCAGCCCUCCCCGCUAUCUCCUGAGGUUCUACUCAGAUUCAAAUAAACACCAGGGCUCCGGGGUCCCCAGCUGCUUCUCGGGGUCCAAAGACGCCUCGGCCGCUGCAGGGCUCCUGCUCCUCUCUGGCUGCAGCCUGAGGGCGAGGCUGACUGUCACUGCGCCACCUGGCACAGUGGCGUCGCUUGCAGUGAUGCACACAGAUGGGGAAGUGGGGCGUACACCCCAGGCACCAAUGGUGCUGCCUCAUGACUCACCUUGUUGAAGUGGGGAUACCUCCAUCCUACUGUGUGAGACAA